UGCCAGCCGCCGCGGUAAUACGGAGGGUGCGAGCGUUAUCCGGAAUUACUGGGUUUAAAGGGUGCGUAGGCGGAUAACUAAGUCUAAGGUGAAAGUCAGUGGCUUAACCAUAGAAUUGCCUUGGAUACUGGUUAUCUUGAAUUGGGUUGAGGAUGGCGGAAUGUGGCAUGUAGCGGUGAAAUGCAUAGAUAUGCCAUAGAACACCAAUUGCGAAGGCAGCCAUCUGGGCCUUGAUUGACGCUGAGGCACGAAAGCGUGGGGAGCGAACAGGAUUAGAUA
rnacentral:rRNA from 1 species